rnacentral:misc_RNA from 1 species
GGUUUAGCAGCGAUUGAGCGCCAGAGACGAUCCAUUUCAGCGCAAAGGGACUGGAUCUGAGAGAUGUCCUUUUUAACGGUGAAGGAGAGCUCAGGGGAGUCGAGACCUCCACUAGAUGUAGAACUCUCGAGACGCUCCAGCCUCUCGACUCCAUCCCGAGCCCUGAGCAGGAGCUUCUUCGCAGUCUGAAAAAUCUCGGAUAGCGUCCCUCCUCCUUCAACAGCCAUCGCCAUUCGUUAAAGUUAUACAGAAAGUGAAAUCUAGAGCGAGUUUUGGCCUUUUUGGUGCCCUUUUAGACUCGGUUUUUAGAGAGUUUCAGAGAUGAGAGAAAAAAGCAUGCAAUUUCACAUGCCCAUGGCGUCGGCUUUUGGAAUUUGGUUUGAAGGGUUUGGAUUUUUUUUUUCUUUUUUUUU